rnacentral:rRNA from 1 species
UACGAAGGGGGCUAGCGUUGUUCGGAAUCACUGGGCGUAAAGCGCACGUAGGCGGAUCUUUAAGUCAGAGGUGAAAUCCCAAGGCUCAACCUUGGAACUGCCUUUGAUACUGGGGAUCUUGAGUCCGGGAGAGGUGAGUGGAACUGCGAGUGUAGAGGUGAAAUUCGUAGAUAUUCGGCGGAACACCAGUGGCGAAGGCGACUCACUGGCCCGAUACUGACGCUGAGGCGCGAAAGCGUGGGGAGCAAACAGG